rnacentral:other from 18 species
AUGGGACGCUCUAAUAUGGACAUGGUGUGAAGAGUCUAUUGAGCUAGUUAGUAGUCCUCCGGCCCCUGAAUGCGGCUAAUCCUAACUGCGGAGCACGUGUCCCCAACCCAGGGGAUAGCGUGUCGUAACGGGUGACUCUGCAGCGGAACCGACUACUUUGGGUGUCCGUGUUUCCUUUAUUCUUAUCCUGGCUGCUUAUGGUGACAAUUGAGAGAUUGUUACCAUAUAGCUAUUGGAUUGGUUAUCCGGUG